CCCAACAUCGACUUAGAAGGAAACACUUGCCUUAACAUUCUUCGGGAAGACUGGAAACCUGUCUUAAAUAUAAACACUGUUAUUUACGGAUUGUAUCACCUAUUCACGGUAUCUUUGAUCGCAACACAAAAUAUUUCGUGACCUCAAACAAACUAUCCGUUUUGUUUUUUCUAGGUUUUAUUUGGAUGUGUACCUGUUGUGAACUCAAAUCCUGCAUUUCUUCAUGCAGGAACCUAACCAUGAGGACCCCUUGAAUCAAGAAGCAGCUGAUCUUUUGAGGGACAAUCCAAAAUUGUUUGGUUUGAACGUGAGAAAAUCGAUCGAGGGAAACAUAUGGGUGGGAGGGGCCCAUUUUCCUGGGUGCAAAACGGGUGACUUCUACUGAUUUGGUUUAUCUAGGGUUUUGCUUCUUCGUGGUCCAACCAUGGUUGUAUGAGGUUGAAGGUUUGUAUGUUUUUUGGGUGUUUUCUGCAUUUCAGGUGAGUACUUGGUGGGGGAUUGUCUGGUGGCACAUUUUCAGCCCAUACUUGUAGCAGGAGAGUGUGUAUUAGUGUAAUUUUGAUCUUCCUUCCAUUAAUAAGAUGGCAUCAUGUUAAGGCUUGGUUUUGACUUGCUAUUUCAAUUUAACUGUCGUGACCUUUUUUUGUUGAUGGUUCGAUAAUUUGGGGAUGCAGUUAUUAAUAAAACAACAAUUCAACAUAUCGUGUCUCCCAGUUCAACCUCAAUCAUUUACGGUCUUGUCUUGUGGCAAAUUUUCAGCCCAUAAUUUGCGGGUGCAUGUAUAAAAUCAUAACUAUUAUACGUAUGAUUUAGCAUUUUGCUCAUUCGGAGUAUUAGAUUAAACUCAUGAAAACAUAAAACUUCAGAGAAAUGGGACUACAUAGUGGCAGUGUCCCAAUCCCUCAUGCAUCGUCAUGUGCUUUAAUUUACUGACAUAACAUUUCAUGAUUAGUUUAAAACAUCAUCACUUUAGCAUGUUAGUUGUAUGCGAGUUCUUCUCCCAAAGAUGCAUCAAUGCAAAUUGCAAUCAGUUUUUCAGCAUGUUUGAUCCAUAUCCCGUAAUUUUGGGUUGGGCCUGGUGAAAUAGGCAUUAAAUGUUGGAAUUCAAAGCCCAUUAUCUUACCCAAAAGCCGUUUUCCUUCUUCCUCUUGUGCAACUCAAAUCCCCAUGAACACUGUUAUUUACGGAUUGUAUCACCUGUUCACGGUAUCUCUGAUCGUAACACAAAAUAUUUCGUGACCUCAAACAAAUUAUCCGUUUUGUUGUUGCUAGGUUUUAUUUGGAUGUGUACCUGUUGUGAACUCAAAUCCUGCAUUUCUUCAUGC
rnacentral:lncRNA from 1 species